CCACAUUGUGAAUGCCCACAAUCACCGGGUCUCUGAAGCUAAGCAGGGUUGGGCCUGGUUAGUACCUGGAUGGGAGACCAGCACAGUGGGGCAGCAGUGUAGA
rnacentral:rRNA from 1 species